GACGUCACGGGAUACACUCAACCCUACCAAUCACAAAGCGUCUCCGAUAUGGAUAAAAGUUUUUAAGUUUCAAACUGUUUUGAUUUUAUUUUUAUUCGGCGCUUGAUUCGUUGUGACGUCGACUCCGACACUGUAGCAGGAAGAGAAGGGGCAGGGAGUCGAAGAUUGUGACCGAGAUGUCUGUGUUUACACAACGAGAUCGAAUUUUGAGUAAAUUUAAAAGAUACUCAGUAUCAAAUUUUAAGAAGAAGGAAAAAAUUAAUAGGUUCACCAGACAUAAAAGUUAGGUGCGUUUUAAACAGAAACGUGUAAAUUCGGGAGAGAGAGAGUCUGGAAACGUAACUGCCUAUGCUGAUUCUCUUGUUUUUCUAUCCGAAUGUAACUCACGCUGGUUUUGGUUUAAGGGAUUGUUCUGAGAAACGUUUUGGAUAUGCAUCCUAACCUUUGGUUCCAGUUAUGAAUUAGACCUAACAAUUAAAUAGUAUCCUUGCAUUCAAUAUUUAAUCAUGUAACCUAGUGAAGGGGCGCUAUAAGCGUUAAGUGGCUUUUUUUUCACUGCAGUACAAAGAGAAGCUAGCAAGCCGUGAAUUGGAGACUUUCAAACACAGUGUCAUAGCUUGGGCUUUUGAAUUUUUAAGCUCAUCUUCAUUAUUAUGCGGCAGAAUCCGUUUUAAUAUGAAAUAAUUUGAAGCAGUUUGUUUAUGACAGAAACAAAAUGUUGCAAAUAUUUUAGGUUACCAAUUAUGAAUAUAAUGUCUUUAUAUUCAGACCAUUUGCUUUACAAAACUUUCACUAAUUUACGAGACAGAAUUUGAGUUUUAAAAGCCAGCCAAUUUAUCUGUACUGUAAACGUAAUUAGUAUCAGGAUAUAAAUUAAAUGUAUUUUCAUACAAAUUAUGUAGAUUUUUUUUUAAAUAACGGUUUAUAAAUUCCUUCAAAGCAUAAUAUAUAUUCAUAAAAGUUUUGUCACUAUUAUAUUUUGCGAAGUCCCCCGUUCUUCUCUGAUGCACUUUUUUUGAAGAAUUUACAUCAAAAGUGUAAUCAUCAGAGCCGAAACAAAGCUGAGGCAAAUGGGGCCCAUGUCUCUAGGUGAACAGAGAGUACGAAAAUUAAAUUAGCUCUGAAAUAUAAUAAAUAACUUUUGAAAAUGAAGUUAAGAUUGUUAACUUUCCAGCUAGUUAACUUAAUUUAAAGAACACAUAGAGAAGCACAGCUUUAAAAUAUCAAAAUAAAUUAAAAUGCGAAUUAUCUUUUGGAGACCGCGUGUCGUUAUCGAUGGGCGAGUGUUAAUAUCAACCAAAGAAUGAGUGUUAAGAUCGUUUAACAUUGGUAGUUCGACCUGGGCUCAAAUCUGGCGAACGAUCGGACUGCAUGGCCAAAUUCAUAGUUCUCUCCAGUGUUUAAGGUAAAUGUGAGCCAUUUUCCCUUGAAAUGUCCUUCACUAAGGCAUCCCUUCCUUAAUCAGACAGCCCUACAGCCCUUGUGUGCCUUACUAUAAUCCAAAUAAUCCGAAUCUGAAUCAUAUGCUCUUCAGGAUGUCAUAGAAAAUAUAAUGUCUUUAUAUUCAGACCAUUUGCUUUACAGAAGUUAAUUAAUUUUCUGUAUUUUUCUUGGUCCAAUAACUUUUCUUUAAACAGUUAACAUUAGAAGAAUUUUCAGAAUUUCAAUUUUUUAUUCUUGUAAAAUCAUAUACAUUUUUUGCAUAUAUUUUUAAAUAACUGCUUAAUCCUCUUGCUUACUGCAUAUGUGUUCAUUAUGUAGCUGCUUUGUGACACAUCUAUGAAAAUCAUAUAAAGCUAAUUUUAA